AUGAACGCUGGCGGCGUGCCUAAUACAUGCAAGUCGAGCGAACAGAUGAGGAGCUUGCUCCUCUGACGUUAGCGGCGGACGGGUGAGUAACACGUGGAUAACCUACCUAUAAGACUGGGAUAACUUCGGGAAACCGGAGCUAAUACCGGAUAAUAUAUUGAACCGCAUGGUUCAAUAGUGAAAGACGGUUUUGCUGUCACUUAUAGAUGGAUCCGCGCCGCAUUAGCUAGUUGGUAAGGUAACGGCUUACCAAGGCAACGAUGCGUAGCCGACCUGAGAGGGUGAUCGGCCACACUGGAACUGAGACACGGUCCAGACUCCUACGGGAGGCAGCAGUAGGGAAUCUUCCGCAAAGGGCGAAAGCCUGACGGAGCAACGCCGCGUGAGUGAUGAAGGUCUUCGGAUCGUAAAACUCUAUUAUUAGGGAAGAACAAAUGUGUAAGUAACUAUGCACGUCUUGACGGUACCUAAUCAGAAAGCCACGGCUAACUACGUG
rnacentral:rRNA from 1 species